AGGAUGAACGCUGGCGGUCUGCUUAACACAUGCAAGUCGAACGGGCGUAGCAAUACGUUAGUGGCGGACGGGUGAGUAACGCGUGAGAAUCUACCUUCAGGACGGAGACAACAGUUGGAAACGACUGCUAACCCCCGAUGUACUGAAAAGGCAAAUAUUUAUAGCCUGAAGAAGAGCUCGCGUCCGAUUAGCUAGUUGGAGAGGUAAAAGCUCACCAAGGCGACGAUCGGUAGC
rnacentral:rRNA from 1 species